GCGGAUCUGUGGCUCAGUGGCAAAACUUCAGCUUUGGGUGUCGAAGGACUCGGGUUCAAUCCCCAGCAGCAGCU
rnacentral:tRNA from 1 species